rnacentral:tRNA from 1 species
AGAUAUGUAUUUAAAAUAUAAAGUCUAACCUGCAAUUAGAAAUUACUCUAAGAGUCAUAUCUA